rnacentral:tmRNA from 1 species
GGGGGUGUCCUGGCUUCGACGGGGGUCGUGAAGUCGCUUGGUGCAUGCCGAGGGGGCAGCUUUCCUCGUUAAUCCAGCGGCAAACUCUAGUUGCCAACGACGACAACUACGCUCUGGCCGCUUAAGGCCUAGCCCCGAACCCACUUGUGUCCGUGCUCGUGGAUGUAGGGUCAUGAUCACGGAAUCGCCCUUGACUGGCCGCACAUCGGUCACCGGUUAAAACAACGUGCUGGUCCGUCGACGCGCUUCGCACGUCGUGUUGUCGCCGGACGAGAUCAAACGGCGAGCUAUGCAUGUAGAGCCGGGGAUGGAACACCUUCGGACGCGGGUUCGACUCCCGCCACCUCCACCA